AAACUCCGAAUGCCAGCAACUUAUACUCGGGAGUCAGACUGCGAGUGAUAAGGUCCGUGUUCGAGAGGGAAACAGCCCAGACCACCAGCUAAGGUCCCAAAAUAUAUGUUAAGUGGAAAAGGAUGUGGCGUUGCCCAGACAACUAGGAUGUUAGCUUAGAAGCAGCUAUUCAUUCAAAGAGUGCGUAAUAGCUCACUAGUCGAGUGACCCUGCGCCGAAAAUGUACCGGGGCUAAAACAAUUUACCGAAGCUGUGGAUACCUUUAUAGGUAUGGUAGGAGAGCGUUCUAUGUGUGGCGAAGGUGUACCGUGAGGAGCACUGGAACGCAUAGAAGUGAGAAUGCCGGUAUGAGU
rnacentral:rRNA from 1 species